GACGAACGCUGGCGGCGUGCGAACACAUGCAAGUCGAACGUUGAACCCGGAGCUUGCUCCGGCGGAUUAGUGGCGAACGGGUGAGUAACACGUGAGUAACCUGCCCUUGACUCUGGGAUAACUGCGGGAAACUGUAGCUAAUACCGGAUACGACCCUCGGCGGCAUCGCCAGGGGGUGGAAAGAAUUUCGGUCAAGGAUGGACUCGGGGCCUAUCAGCUAGUUGGGGAGGUAACGGCUCACCAAGGCGACGACGGGUAGCCGGCCUGAGAGGGUUACCUGCCCCACGGGGACUCCGACACGGCCCCUACUCGUCCGUGAGGCAGCAGUGGGGGAUAUUCCACGAUGCGCGCAACUCUGAUGCGGCAACGCCGCGUGAGGGAUCACGGCCUUCGGGUUCUAACCCUCUUUUCGUCGGGGAGAAGCUUACGUGACGGUACCUGCAGAAAAAGCACCGGCUAACUACGUGCCCGCCGCCGCUGUAC
rnacentral:rRNA from 1 species